UCCAACAUAGAAGCUGUGGUAGGUUCAAAAUAGAAUUAUAACUUUCUGAGUUUUCAAAUUUAUUUAUUUAUUUUUUUACAUGUUUUAUGCUGAAUCUUGUACGCUCUCAUGAAUAAAACUAAUAACUGGUUUUGUUGCCUCUUCAGAGAAAUGGUGAUGGCAAUCAAGGCAGUUUUCGUUAUCCUGUGUGGCGUGGAGCAAAUAUCAUGACUGCGAUAUCCAACCAGGGUUCCAACAUAGAAGCUGUGAGAAAUGGUGAUGGCAAUCAAGGCAGUUUUCGUUAUCCUGUGUGGCGUGGAGCAAAUAUCAUGACUGCGAUAUCCAACCAGGGUUCCAACAUAGAAGCUGUGAGAAAUGGUGAUGGCAAUCAAGGCAGUUUUCGUUAUCUUGUGUGGCGU